CCUACGGGUGGCAGCAGUGAGGAAUAUUGGUCAAUGGUCGCGAGACUGAACCAGCCAAGCCGCGUGAGGGAUGACGGUACAGCGUGUUGUAAACUUCUUUUGUCAAGGAAUAAAGUGGGGGACGUGUCCCUUGUUGUGUGUACUUGAUGAAUAAGCAUCGGCUAACUCCGUGCCAGCAGCCGCGGUAAUACGGAGGAUGCGAGCGUUAUCCGGAUUUAUUGGGUUUAAAGGGAGCGUAGAUGGGUUGUUAAGUCAGUUGUGAAAGUUUGCGGCUCAACCGUAAAAUUGCAAUUGAUACUGGCAGUCGUGAGUACAGUUGAGGUAGGCGGAAUUCGUGGUGUAGCGGUGAAAUGCUUAGAUAUCACGAAGAACUCCGAUUGCGAAGGCAGCUUACUAAACUGCCACUGACAUUGAUGCUCGAAAGUGUGGGUAUCAAACAGGAUUAGAUACCACAGUAGUC
rnacentral:rRNA from 1 species